CAGUCGCCGCGGUAAUACGUAGGUGGCGAGCGUUGUCCGGAAUUAUUGGGCGUAAAGGGCUCGCAGGCGGUUUCUUAAGUCUGAUGUGAAAGCCCCCGGCUCAACCGGGGAGGUCAUUGGAAACUGGGAAACUUGAGUGCAGAAGAGGAGAGUGGAAUUCCACGUGUAGCGGUGAAAUGCGUAGAGAUGUGGAGGAACACCAGUGGCGAAGGCGACUCUCUGGUCUGUAACUGACGCUGAGGAGCGAAAGCGUGGGGAGCGAACAGGAUUAGAUACCCCCGUAGUCCCUGUCUCUUAUACA
rnacentral:rRNA from 1 species